rnacentral:rRNA from 1 species
UACGAAGGGGACUAGCGUUGUUCGGAAUUACUGGGCGUAAAGCGCACGUAGGCGGAUUUGUAAGUCAGGGGUGAAAUCCCGGGGCUCAACCUCGGAACUGCCUUUGAUACUGCAAAUCUCGAGUCCGGAAGAGGUGAGUGGAAUUCCGAGUGUAGAGGUGAAAUGCGUAGAUAUCUGGAGGAACACCGGUGGCGAAGGCGGCAUCCUGGACCGGCAUUGACGCUGAGGCGCGAAAGCUAGGGGAGCAAACGGG